UUCCGACAAUAAAUCCCCAGAAAAAUUCUUAUUUAGAUGAUUUAGUACUUGUGGACAAAAUUUGCCUCAAGGAUUACAAGUUUGUGCGUGGUGAUGUUGUAGUGUUCAUGUAUGUUCCUUAUGCCAAACCACGUUUGAGUCAUCCUUUGACAAGAACUAUAUAAUGAGUCUUAGUUGAUUACAUGUAAUAUGAUGGAUAUGAUAAUGUGGUCUGGCCACCCAAAGAGUUAGCAAGAUUGGUCGAUAAAGCUAAUUGAGAAGAAGAAGAAGGAGAAUGACAUGGUGUGGCAAACGGCUUCUCUUUACCAUUUGGUUCACACUGCAGCUCUUCUUUCUGCACCUAGCACCAAAUAUCCCAACAUUUAAAUCUCUCAGGCGGAGUCAUUGGAGAUAUAGCGGAGGAGGAAGGAGGCGGAGGAAGAGAAGGUGAAGAAGAGUCGAGAUUGAGAAGACCAUAAGUAGUUGAAGUUAGCUUAACGAAAUGGUGGCUUAAGGUGGAGGCAUUGAGCUGAGAAGAGAAGGUUUCAUCGGUCGGAUUUAGGAGACACAACCACCCAUCACCGGAGAUUUCGAGGAUUUCUCAACGUCGACGGAGGAAACAAAAAAAAAAA